GAGAGAGAGAGAGAGUUGAAAAUGGGGGUGGGGGAGAGAGUCCUUAAUAAGAAGAAGAGGAUGCCCUCACAAUAUCUUGGCUAAAAGUUAGGGUUUAGUGAAGAUGGCGAUGUGUAACUGCAGCCACAUUGGAGCAGUACAGUACAGCUAAGCAUCAACCAAUCAAAUUCCAAACCACCCAACCAAUACAAUUUUUUUCUUCCGAAUACACCGUAUAUAUAUACACACACACACAACAAAUCCUUCUUCCUACUUCCUCCUCUCUGUGUGAGCUCUCUACUCUUUCUCUGUCUCUGUUUCUGUCUCUCUCUCUCUCUCUCUCUCUCUCUCUCACAGAAAUAUACUAUACAUAUUUAUACAUAUGGCUAUAUAGAGUUAGAUCUCUAGGGUAUUCUUUUCUUACUUUCUUUUUUCUUUUCUUUUUUCUUGGUUUUCUUCCUCUGUUCUAUUACUUGUAUUUCAUGUGCUUUCGUGCUUUCUCUUUAAUUUAAUUUAAAAAACGCCUUCUCUUUUGAUCAUCACUCUGUUUUUGUACUCUAAAUCCUCAGAAUCUUCUGUAUGGAGCUGCUAUAAGAACUGGGUUUUUAUUUUUAUUUUUAUUUUAUUUUAUGAGAAAUGGUUUUUUUUUUGGUUAAUUAUUAUAUCUAUCUGCCGGAAUCUGAAAUGGGUACUACUAUUUUCAAACUGUUUUUUAAGCCUGAAUCUCAUCGGAGGAGAAAUCUGACCCGCAUAUCAAAAAAUCUUAAAAGAAAUUCUGAAAUCUUUUUUAUUGGUAUUGUGGUAUAAUAUAGUAUUAGCUCUAAUUUUUAAAAGAAAAUCAGAGAAAUGGGUUUUGUUUAGUUUUGGUUUUGAUUUUGUUUUCUUCUUGGGCUCGAGUUGAGCGCGAUAGAUUCUUUCUCGGGGAUACCUUUUUCGUGUGUGUAAUCACUUCACGUUUCAACCAGUGAAAAAAGGCCACGUCAGCUCGUGCUCGUGGUAACGGUCAUUAUUGCUGGUUGUUCAACACAUAAAAUCACAAAAUUUUCCCUUAUUAGUUCCUUAUUCUUUUGAAAUUGUUCGAUUUUCUCGGGAAAAUUUAGUAUUUUGAAUUUUUUAUGCAUUUUUUUAGUUUAAGCAAUCCUAUUAUAUGUAUGCAUGAAUAUUCAUGGAUUGACAGUCGUUGUUUGCGGGUGUAGCAUCAUCAAGAUUCACAUGCAAAUACAAACGCCGAGGCAGGUUUUGAUCAGGACUCAGAUUCAAUUUGCCAAUUAAGUUUCUUUUGAAAGUGAGAAUCUUGAUGAUGCUGCAUCAGCAAUAAACGACUAUAAAAAACAAAGAAGAUCCUCCGAACCCAAUUCCAAUUCUCUCUGCAACAAAUGGUGGAUUUUUUUUUUUUUUGCCUCUUUUUUUUUCUGCUGGUUUCAGGUGGGUAUAGCUUACAAUCAAUCUUCUUGGUAAUAAUUAUCGUUAUUAAUCAAAAUAAUGGAUUUAAUACCUCUAUUUGUUUGUAUAUAUGCCUAAAAGCUCUUUUUUGUGUCUCUUUUUUUUUUUUUUAUUUUUAAUAAUUUUUUUUUCGCAGUGCCUAUAGCUGUUCAAUUUAAAGAACUUUGCUGACUUAUUACAAGGCAGAUCUGUGAUUGUUCUUUCUGCACAUAUUUUGCUUUGGAUAAAAAUGGUAUCUUUUCAGUGAGUUUCUGAUGGAGAUAGGGAUGUGACAAUAUCAAAAAUGGGAAAGAGAGAAUCUUCAAGCAGAGAGAGAGGCUUUAAGAUUGGAGAAAAGGAAAACUAGGAGCAGAUAUAAGCUGAGAACAAAGGUGAGAAGAUGAAAAAAGAGUUGGUUUUAUAUAUUGGUUUUGAUGAGCUUAUAAUAUGGAUUACCAAAGUUUGGAUUUUUGCAAUUUCCUACCACCUUUUUGUCUUCUGUCAAAGCGGGUUUUCAAAAAAAUAUUUGAUUGUUUUAUGGACAAUCUUCCAACUGAUUUUUUUGUCUUUCGAAUUAAGUAUGUGAUUGAAAAUUUCGAACUGAGUAUGCAAAAAUAAAAAAAUAAAAAAAAAUAGAAUCUUGGAUAUGCAAAAUCAUUAUGGGAAACUUGUCGCAUUGUCACUGCUGUUGUUGUCUUUGGCAUUACCAUAAACACCCCAUCACUAUCUUGGUGGACCAUUGCUAGACAUCUUGCAGCUUGGACCCCUUUGACAUUGAUGAUUCAGUCAUUUCAAGAUUAUAGAGAUCUGUGUGCCUCUAUCACUAUCCAGUAUCCAAGCCUUGAUUCGCAUUCAACUCUCGGGUUUCAAAUCGGGUACAAAUAUAACUUUUUUGAUCUUGGGAGUGCGGGGGAAUUAAGGAACAAAAUGCAUUUCUAAUGAAAAAUCUUCAUGAAGAAUUUAAUGACUCAAAAUCAAACAUUUCUAUGUCGUUUAAGGAAUCAAAUAUGGAUGGAGGACGUACAUAUCCUGCAAAUCAUAAGAGCAAUAUAAUGAUUUUUGAUUUGUUGAUUCAUUUUAUCAAUUAGUAUUGUUGAUCCUUCUAGUUAUUUUAGUACCAAGGCUAUGUUUGGUUCUCCAUGAAAAACAUUUGUGGUAAACUGUUCCAAGAAAUAAUUUCUAAGGUAACAGUUUUAUUUCUUAAUGUUUGGAUAAUAAUAAAAAAAAUAUAGUAUUUAAAUAUACAGUCAAUCUUAAGUAAAGGCCCAUCCUUG